rnacentral:tRNA from 1 species
GCCUGGCUGGCUCAGUAGGCGGAGCAUGGGACUCUUGAUCUCAGGGUUGUGAGUUCAAGCCCCAUGUUAGGUA